rnacentral:rRNA from 1 species
GACGAACGCUGGCGGCGUGCUUAACACAUGCAAGUCGAACGGAAAGGCCCUGCUUUUGUGGGGUGCGCGAGUGGCGAGCGGGUAAUAAGCAGGGAAUUAGCCUGCCUUGGGGUUGGGACAAAGUUAAGGAAAUGGGGGUAAAACCGGAAAGGGUGGCCGUGCUGAUGGUGGGGGGUGGUAAGGUUCGGCGGGUUGGGACGGAAUCGCGGGUUAUCGGCUUGUUGGUGGGGGAGUGGCUUACCAAGGCUUUGUCGGGGAGCCGGCCUGAGAGGGUGACCGGCCACAUUGGGACUGAGAUACGGCCCAGACUCCUACGGGCGGCAGCAGUGGGGAAUAUUGCACAAUGGGCGGAAGCCUGAUGCAGCAACGCCGCGUGCGGGAUGACGGCCUUCGGGUUGUAAACCGCUUUCGCCUGUGACGAAGCGUGAGUGACGGUAAUGGGUAAAGAAGCACCGGCUAACUCCGUG